GGUAAUUUGACCGUGCAAAGGUAGCAUAAUCCUUAGUUUUUUAAUUGAAAGCUGGAAUGAAAGGUUGGAUGAGAAAAAAGCCGUCUCUGUUUAAUUUAUUUAGAAUUUUAUUUUUAAGUUAAAAAGCUUAAAUUUAAAUAGAAGACGAGAAGACCCUAUAGAGUUUUAUUAUUUUUUUUUAUAAAAAUAAUAGUAUUUUUUAAUUUUAUAGGUAAAAUUAAUUUAGUUGGGGUGAUUAAAAAAUUAAAUUAACUUUUUUUUUAUAAAUACAUUUAUAUAUGAUUAUUUGAUCCUUAAUUUGAGAUUAAAAGAUAAAAUUACCUUAGGGAUAACAGCGUAAUUUUUUUUGAGAGUUCUAAUCGAAAAAAAAGAUUGCGACCUCGAUGUUGGAUUAAAAUAAAAUUUUGGUGUAGAAGCUAAAA
rnacentral:rRNA from 1 species